CCUACGGGAGGCAGCAGUGAGGAAUAUUGGUCAAUGGGCGCGAGCCUGAACCAGCCAAGUAGCGUGAAGGAUGACUGCCCUACGGGUUGUAAACUUCUUUUAUAAAGGAAUAAAGUGAGGCACGUGUGCCUUUUUGUAUGUACCUUAUGAAUAAGGAUCGGCUAACUCCGUGCCAGCAGCCGCUGUAAUACGGAGGAUCCGAGCGUGAUCCGGAUUUAUUGGGUUUAAAGGGAGCGGAGGGGGGCUGGUAAGUCAGGUGUGAAAGUUUGCGGCUCAAACGUAAAAUUGCAAUUGAUACUGGCAGGCUUGAGUGCAGUAGAGGUAGGCGGAAUUCGUGGUGUAGCGGUGAAAUGCUUAGAUAUUAGGAAGAACUCCGAUUGCGAAGGCAGCUUACUAAACUGCCACUGACAUUGAUGCACGAAAGUGUGGGUAUCAAACAGGAUUAGAUACACUAGUAGUC
rnacentral:rRNA from 1 species